GAUGAACGCUAGCGGCAGGCUUAACACAUGCAAGUCGAGGGGUAGAAGUUGCUUGCAACUUUGAGACCGGCGCACGGGUGCGUAACGCGUAUGCAAUCUACCUUAUACAGAGGGAUAGCCCAGAGAAAUUUGGAUUAAUACCUCAUAGUAUAAUUGAAUGGCAUCAUUUAAUUAUUAAAGUUCCAACGGUAUAAGAUGAGCAUGCGUCCUAUUAGCUAGAUGGUAAGGUGACGGCUUACCAUGGCAACGAUAGGUAGGGGUCCUGAGAGGGAGAUCCCCCACACUGGUACUGAGACACGGACCAGACUCCUACGGGAGGCAGCAGUGAGGAAUAUUGGACAAUGGGCGCAAGCCUGAUCCAGCCAUGCCGCGUGCAGGAAGAAGCAUCUAUGGUGUGUAAACUGCUUUUGUACGGGAAGAAACACCCCUUCGUGAAGGGACUUGACGGUACCGUAAGAAUAAGGAUCGGCUAACUUCGUGCCAGCCGCCGCAGUAAUAC
rnacentral:rRNA from 1 species